rnacentral:rRNA from 1 species
GACGAACGCUGGCGGCGUGCCUAAUACAUGCAAGUAGAACGCACAGUUUAUACCGUAGCUUGCUACACCAUAGACUGUGAGUUGCGAACGGGUGAGUAACGCGUAGGUAACCUGCCUGGUAGCGGGGGGUAACUAUUGGAAACGAUAGCUAAUACCGCAUAAUAUUAAUUAUUGCAUGAUAAUUAAUUGAAAGGUGCAAUUGCACCACUACUAGCUGGACCUGCGGUGUAUUAGCUAGUAGGUGAGGUAACGGCUCACCUAGGCGACGAUACAUAGCCGAGCUGAGAGGGUGAACCGGCACAAUGGGACUGGGACACCGCCCAGACUCCCACGGGAGGCAGCAGUAGGGGAACUUCGGCAAUGGACGGAAGGCUGACCGCGCAACGCCGGCGUGGGGGAGAAGGUCUUCGGAUUUUAAAGCUCUGUUGUAAGGGAAGGACGGGUGUGAGAGUAGAAAGUUCACGCUGUGACGGUAUCUAAACAGAAAGGGACGGCUAACUACGUG